CUAUAACUCUAAUAGAUGCAAAUGUAUGAUCAGGAAGGAUGGAGUUGCUUUCUCGGAAAGUGUGAUUUCCGUGAAAGCCACUUCCCGCCAUCUUGUAAUUUCACCAGAAAACCUGGGGACGAGAGCACACUGGCAAAGCAGUGGCUAGUGGGAUAUCUUCUUCCAAUUCGUGGAAAGCGCUCAACAGGCAAAAUGUCGAUGCUUUCGGCGGCCGCGUUGUUAGAUGAACUAAUGGGGGUCGAUAGAGAUCGAGCCCCCAAUGAGAAAAAGACUGCCCUACAUUGGUCUGAUCCUCAGGUUUGCAAAUACUUCCUUUGUGGAUUUUGUCCUUCCCAGCUCUUCGUUAAUACUAGAUCUGACUUGGGCCCUUGUGAAAAGGCACAUGAUGAUCGGUUGAGAAAAGAGUAUCAAGAAAGUGGUCGUUUCAAAAAAAUGAGGUAUGAAGAGGAAUUUCUGAGGUAUCUUCAAAACAUUAUGGCAGAUGUGGACAGACGGAUCAGGCGAGGACAUACCAGAUUGAACCUCAGUCGUGCACAGGAAGAGAAGGAAUUGGCAAGUGGCAAGCCAGACAGUGAAAAAAUCAAAAUGCUUACCGAGAAGAUUAAUGCUCUGUUAGAGCAGGUUGAACAAUUAGGGUGUGAAGGAAAGGUGGAAGAAGCACAAGGUGUUAUGAAAUUGUGUGACCAGCUAAAGAAUGAGCGUGAGGCUCUCCAAAUGCAAUCGCGUGACCUUAACUUAAUGUCUGCUCAAGAAAAGCAAAUGGAAGUGUGUGAAGUUUGUGGUGCCUUUCUUAUCAUUGGUGAUGCACAAACUCGAGUUGAUGAUCACUUACAGGGAAAGCAGCAUAUGGGUUAUGCCAAGAUCAAAAGUACCAUUGAGGAACUCAAGAAUAAAAGGAACGAAAGGUCUCGGUCUAAAUCCAAAGAGACGAUGGAAAAAGAUGACGGUUCUGAAAAAAAGCGAGAGAGGGAAGGAGAACGGAGCCGUGACCGGGACCGUGACGGGAGAAAGGACCGUGACAGAGACCGUGAUAGGGAUCGUGACGCUAGAGGACGCGAAAAGGAUCGUGACAGAGAUCGUGACAGGGAUCGUGACAGAGAUCGUGACAGGGAUCGUGACAGGGAUCGUGACCGAAGGAGAGACCGUGAUCGUGACAGAGACCGUGACCGCGAUAGGGAUCGUGACAGGGACAGGGAUAGGGACAGGGACAGGGAUCGUGGCAGGGACCGUGAACGUAGAAGGGAUCGUGAUCGUGACAGAGAUCGUAGCAGGGACCGUGACCGGGAUCGUGAUCGUGACAGAGACCGUCAUCGUGAUAAGGAGCGUGAUGGUGAAAAGGACCGAGAUCGUGACAGGGAUCGUGAGAGAUCAAGGGAAAAGGAGAAGCGGCGUGUUGAGAAAGAUGAAACGAAAGACGGAGAUGGAGAAAAACUCGAGGAAAAGGAGAACGAAAAUGGGGAAGAUGAGAAAGAAGCCACAGUCGAGAAGAUGGAAGGAACCAAUGAAGGUUACGACAACCAGGAGAAAGAUAAGUCCGUCAGAUCUCGAAGCAGGUGAGUGGUGUCUUUAUGGAGUGAUAUUAAAUGAGAGCAUUAUGCAGAGAUGGCAAAGUUUUAGCACAGUUAAGCCGAUUUCUAAUUAGUUGUUGAUAAUGAGAAGGGUAGACAUUGUUAUUUUGGGUGCUAACGUACAACGAGCUGCCCACUGAUUAAACACCCCGUAAAUUGGAUCAAGAACUGAAGGCUACUGCGAAAGCAAAGCUACCUCAGCUCAGCAGAACGGAACAACAAAGAUUGAGGUACCUCAUUCUGUUGUGAUUUUCAAUUUUGAAAUUUCCUCAAUUCAUUGCUUGUACUAAAGUCAUGGCAGCAGCUAUCAUCUGGGCUUGAAGAUAACUGGAAACACAAGGUACACACGCAAAGUUUGAGUUCAAUUUUUAAUUUUUUGUUAAUUAUGGUUUUCAACCAAGCUGAUCAACCGAGGUUCGUAUGUAAGGUAACUUUCCUGUUUGUUUUUGAAAUGAAAUUUUCGUUUCUAUUCGUAAUUUUUUACUAAAAUGGAGUCAAACGUCUCAAUGCGAAGAAUCGCUCUCUAAAAGGAAUCGAUGUCGCUGCUCAAACCGAGUGGCAAAAAGUUAAGUCACAACUGGAAGAGAGUCGAACGUCGUGAUCAUUUGAAAGUAAACUUUUUGUUUGAAUGUUAAAAGAAAAAGAAAAAGAAACAAAAAAAACAUUUUAAAUUUAAAAGUGAGACCUUGGGAAGUUAAAGAACUCGCCACAGCAACGGAAUUGAAGGUAGCAGUUGUUGUCAGACUUCAGUUUACCGUAUUAAACCAACUUACGUUUCCAGUGAGUCACUCAAAGGAUAUCAAUCUCUACCGGCGGAUCAGCCAAUCACUCAGUCGACAUCUUGUAAGAGGUCACGUGAGAGAGAAGAACACCACGACAAGACUGGGUCCUCGUCCCCAAAGAGCAGGUCUCGAUCCAGGUCCCCUCUAUAGUGUGCAAGUCCAGUGAAUCAUACCGCAGACCAGAAAAGUGAUGGAGAGCAAGCCCUGUUUUUUACUGAAAAGUUGUCAUUUCUAGUAGGUUAGUUUACUAUAAGACGAAAACAUCUUAAAUUCUAGGGUUCGGUUUUACGUUUAGUUACCAUGAGCUUCAGUAAAUUUAUAGUGUUGCCAACCCGUAGAACAUAAACAUAUUUCUCAGAGGUUCGUUGUUAAGAGCCUGCUACAUGUGUGUGUUACUCGAGGAUUUCAUUGCAAACAAUCCUUCAACUUUCCUUUGAGCGAUGUCCUUUUCAGACACCCCUAAAAGUAUAGAAAGGUUUUGAACCAAGUUUUGUCUGUGAUUGGACCGGUGUCUUGAACAUUGUGGAAGAUUGGGGUUCUGCAGUGGCCACAGCAUUCAAGAUGGCGGGUCCAUGAUGAAAUGAAGAUAGUUCAGGUUGUUCGCCAUCUUUAGUAUCUCGUGUAGUUAAGUGGUAGCUACAACUUUCGCUCACUUAUAAUAAACCAGAAGGCACCUAGAUAGUUCUUUCCUUCCGUAGAUGGUCGAAUCCUGCAACAAGAUAGUACACUCUUGUAUUUAGGUUGAAUAAAUCAAUUCCUUUGGUGAAAA
rnacentral:misc_RNA from 1 species